GGAAUGUUGGUUUAGCAGACUAACAAAAGAUUAGAAAGCAGGAGAGGGAAACAGUUUGAAGAAUAUGCUGGUUACUGGAAGAGCAGACAUACUUGCUUAUGGGAGCAGAAAAUAUGAUGAUGUGAUUUCCAGACAAAUAGGUUCAUCAGCCACAGGUUCUAACCAUGUUUUGAGGUAACUUCAUAAGAACAUGAAGUCCAGGAUGAAUGAUUUAGUUGGUAAAUACAUGGGCCUCUUAUACGAAGUUCCAGGUAUGUGUCUUUCUCCCACAGCUACCCAGAAAUUUGGUGCUCAAAAAUCUGGAGCUGUACCAUCUGUCCAAGGUAACAGUACUGAGAUUUGAUAUCCUACAAAUAUCUGUGGGCUUAUUUUGAGAUUUCCCACUGAAUGACAAGGAUAAGAGAACAAGGAGUGACACAGUUAAUGGAGAAAGGAGUUUGUAUCUCAUUUAGCACAAAAUCCAGAAGGUGCAACCCUGCUUUACUCACAACAGUGGAUUAUGCCACUGAUUUCAGAAAUGCAAGGAUCUAUCCACAAUAAACUACUUGGCAGCCCCUACAAGCUAAGUAAACCUCAGAUUUUAUUUAACACUGGUUUAAAUGCAAUGAGAUUGUCUUUUGUAUUUACAGCUCCCAGGCCUGUUGAAUGCACAGGCCCAAUGCCAAAUGAAAAUAAAAUUAAAAAAUCUUGUGCUGAUGAUCUGUAAUAUUUCAUCAGCUUUUAAACUAAUACAGUACAAUAUUGAGCAGCUGAACCUCAAAUCCAAACAGCACAUAUAGUGAAUAAAUUCAUGCACUUUCCCAAAUUAGAUCCUUUGCUGAAAAGAUUUACAAACAUUUGUUAUGGUUAGCUGGAGAAUAAGCUUUGGAUAUAUUAAAGUAUUAUUCUACUUUAUUUUUCUAUAAAUUAGAAAAAUCCAUUUAUAAAUCCAAUAUUAAUAUGUAUAUUCAAAUGAUAGGUAUGGCAUAGAUUAGUGGUGGCCUCUAUACUUACAUUCUUUCCCCUUAUCUGCUUAAUUUUAGAAGCUAAUAAACUUUGGUAGACUGACAUCUUUGACAGUAAACAAACUAGCAUUCAGGAAGCAUUGCGUGAAUGCUUCUGCAUAUUUUCAUAGAGACAGAACUUUUAGCUUGUUUCUACUUGGAAUGAAUUUGCACUGCACUAUUAACAAUAGUCUUAUUAUUGUAAGAAAAAAAUGGAAGAUUAAAAUUUGGUAUGUACAGUAUGUUAAAAAUAGAAGAUUAAUAUUAUCUGGGCAAAAACAAACAAUUAUUCCUUGUUCUGCCAGGAUAUGUUAACAAGUAGGACAUCAAUAUAAUUCUGUCCCAAGAUGAUAAAGAUGAUCCAGUGUAUAACAUCACUGAAAGCCAUGAAUAGGAUUGUUAGUCAUAGCUCCAUUGUGAAUUUGAAAAAGUGUAAACUAUCUCUAAAUUCAUUUAUCAUCACGCUGUUCAGUAGCUAAUGCCACUGGCUAAAAGGGCUAUAUAUGAUAUUUUUUCUGGGCAUUUAUAAUUCAGGCUUUAACGUUCUAUUGAAAAUUAAGCCCUGAUUUAAAAGGAUAAGAAUGGUUUCCUUUCAUUUUCCAUCUAGGAAAUUUAAUAAAAUGAUCUAUGGUAUUCCCUAGGAAAUGAAGGCAGGAUGACACCUACAUUUAGUAAUCCAGCUGGUAUAUUAGAUAAAUUAUGCAAGAACUUUCUGGGACCACAGAGACUACUUCAUCUUCUUCAAGAUAAGUUGGUAAGUGGAUAAAUAUUGCAAUACGGUAGGUAAAAGAUGCACCUGCAUAAGGGCCUUUUUGUUCUAUUGUAAUGACUAAACAUGAUGAAUCUUACCUUACAUUAUAUUAUUCUUCCUUCUGCUCAGAUUGCACCCAUUACAGCAGACUGAAUAAUUGAAAAAGAUUUUGAGACAAUUUAGCCUCAGAACUGGAAGUGCCAAAUUGAACUAUUAAAUGCACUGUUAUAAGAAAGCAGAGAAGAGAUGAAGAAACAGACAAAAUUAUAUCGGGCUGAAGAGAACAGAGUUCUCAGAGACCAUAAGGGUAAGAUGGAAUAUACAAAGUUCAGCUGAUCUGCAGGAAUGGGUGAAGAAGAAUGCUAAUAAGGAAGAAGUAACAUUAAAGGAGACCAAUAGAGUGAGAGAAUGGAAGAGUAUGGAAUAUGGCAGGUGCAAGAGAAACACAUGGGGAGAUUUCAUAUCCAACAAUGGUUAAAGUCCCAUCCCUUCAAGUUUUCCAGAAAGAAAUUAUAAUGAAAGCUUGCUUUGGUGGUACUUAAGCAAGGAUAGAGUACUCUGCUUUUUAGUAAACAUGGCAAUGUGAAUAUGGUUGCUUUAAAAAAAAGAAAUACUUUCUGCAGUGAAGUGCGUAUAAAUCAAAUUCACCACCUGAACAGAUGUCACAACAGUUUCAAUGAACAUUUCUUUAUAACUGUUGGUCAUCUGUACAGUAUAUCAUUUUGUCAGAAGAAUAGCUUUUUGGUGGAGUUGCUGCUUCUGUGCUGGGCUUGUUAAUAUACAAUAACAUUUCAAAGUCUAUGGUCUGGGUCUGUGUUUCUCUCUGCAGGACAGUCACACACACUUUUACAUAAAAUUAGAUUGUUCUGGGAUUUGGAUAAAGCUUGCUUCUUUAUCACUACAUAAGUUGCAAUAUUAUUAUCAUGCAAGGCCAUAGAUUUUCGUUUCACUAGAAAUACUCUCCUUUUCUCAAUCUCUUUCUCUCUUUCUCUCUCAUGUUUGUUUAUUCCAAGAAAAAACUUAUAUUAUCCGUAUAAAAUAGCUGAUUCUUCAAUUAAUAGUUAUUGAAUGGGCCCAGACAGGAACUAGUGCAACUAGUACAGGUACUAGUAUUGGGACUGAGUUAAAGAAUGGGACAUUUGGUUACAUACAUCUUGUUACAUACAAUGUACCAUUCAACCUCUUCCUCUAUGCUUAUAUAGCCUGUAGCUGAAAACAAGAUAACAACUUUUCAAUAAGCCAUAGUCAUGCAAUCAGCUGAUAAUCAUUAUAGGGAAAUCAGGGAAGAGGAAUUUAGGAAAGGGUUUAAAUGUUUAAAUGUUAAAUGUUUUCUGGAUUUAGUUUAAAUGUUUUAAAUGUUUUCUGGAUCCAUCAGCCUUCCCAAUGUGGUAUCCUCCAGAUAUGUGAGACUUAAAUUUCCAUAGUUUCUGGGAGAUGGUUAGAACUGUUGGAGCUGGUAUACCCAGGUAUAUAUUUAUUCUUUCAAUUCCUUUUUUUUUUUUACAAACACAACACAAAACUUUGCUUAAAAAAUUCUGCUCAAGCCCCAGAAAGGCCUGCAAAAAGUAACCCUUGAAUUGAAGGAGGUGAAAACUUAACACCUGUUUCUAUUUAUUGGGGAAGUGGCAUAAAAUACAAAGAAAUAGAAAAGAAAGUUUGAAAGGAGUAGUAAAUGAUCAGAAAUUACCAGGCAUGCUGAAAAGUGGAAAUAUUGAAUUUCUACAAAUGUCUUUUAAAAAUAAAGAGCAAAACUCUCUCUCUCUCUCUGUCUCUGUCUCUCUCUCACACACACGCACGCACACAUUAAUAGGCUGAGUGUAAUGCAACCAGAUUUCUUUCAGCAAAACAAUUUUGCAUAAGAAUAAAGUUUGUUGGUUCAAAUUAUACCUCUGUCAACAAAAAGCAAAUCCUAGUGAAUCUUUGCUGAUGGUUAGUGAGGUUUUGCUGCUUAUUUUUGAGAGGAGGAGGCAAAGCUAAUAAAGAGUCUUCGUAUAUGCAAGAAUGUAUUAAGAUUUUAAAGCAUAAUUCUUUAGCAAUUCCCUUUAUAGCCAAAUAGCACACUAAUGUGAGGAGCAAUAGUGGAAUCAAAUCCCGCUAUGAGACAAAGAAAGUAAUUUUUCUUCUUUUUUUAACUUUAGGAAUUUAGCAACCUCCAGGAAUUACAUUGA